rnacentral:rRNA from 1 species
CCCUUAGAUGUUCUGGGCAGCCCGCGCACUACAUUGGCACUAGCAAAGAGAUCCUAGAUUGAAUUCUUUGGGGUAUUCUUCUAAAUGGUGUCGUGACUGGGAUAAAUCCUUGUAAUUAUUGGUUUUGAACGAGGAAUUCCUUGUAAUCGCGGUUUAUCAGCUCGCGUUGAAUGCGUCCCUGCCCUUUGUACACACCGCCCGUCGCUCCUACCGAUGGAUCGUCCGGUGAAGCUCACGGAGUGACUGUUCACGCAACGGUUUACGAAGUGAAAUGGACCUCACGAUUUAGAGGAAGGAGAAGUCGUAACA